rnacentral:rRNA from 1 species
UGGGCAACCUGCCCUCAGCUCUGGGAUAACUCCGGGGAACCGGUGCUAAUACUGGAUAUCGACUUCUGCUCGCAUGGGUGGUGGUUGAAAGUUUUUCGGCUGGGGAUGGGCCCGCGGCCUAUCAGCUUGUUGGUGGGGUGAUGGCCUACCAAGGCGACGACGGGUAGCCGGCCUGAGAGGGCGACCGGCCACACUGGGACUGAGACACGGCCCAGACUCCGUACGGGAGGCA